GCACCCUGAGCCCAAAUGGUUGGGUAAUUAUAUAUAAAUUACGCUGAAAACUAUAUAAAUCAGUCUGCAAACACAAUAUUGGGCUCCUUUGGGUUAGAAAUUGGUAAAGUUUGAGAGGAGGAGGCGACGGUGAGCCACAGUCUGGAGCAGUCACCCCUCGUGUCCUCAAGCCACUGUUCACGUCCAGGAUUUUAUUCUAAAUUAUCACCAUUCCUUCUCGUACUAGAAUGACCAGCAUGGUUAACAAAUAUGAUGCUCUUAAAACUAAUGAUGACUCGGGGGAAGAAGAUGGUGAAACCCGAGAAUCAAAGGAGAUGGAGAAGAUACUGCCUCCAGUUGAGGUCAAGCCAGGUGAACACCGACUCCAGUACACAUACUGCAUUUGGUUCAGUCGUCGGGCGCCAGGAAAGCAAGCAACAACACAAAAUUAUGACCAGAACCUGCAGCUAAUAGGAAGGUUUGCUUCUGUGGAACAGUUUUGGGGUUUCUACAGUUAUUUAGCCCGGCCAACUCAUCUUGCAUCACACUCUGACAUUCAUAUUUUUAAAGAUGGAAUAAAGCCCAUGUGGGAGGAUGGUGCAAAUAAAAAUGGGGGAAAAUGGAUUGUGCGUUUACGGAAAGGACUGUCUUCACGGUGUUGGGAGAACAUGAUCUUGGCAAUGCUAGGGGAGCAAUUCUUGGUUGGAGACGAGAUUUGUGGUGCUGUUAUAUCUGUUCGAUUUCAGGAGGACAUAAUCUCUGUUUGGAAUCGCACUGCACAGGACACACUCACUACAGGGCGAAUUCGUGACACUCUGAAACGAGUCCUUAACCUUCCUCCUAAUACAGUUAUGGAGUACAAAACUCACAAUGAUUCCCUCAAGCACACCCACUCCACGUCCAGCCUACUUCGGAAACCUGGCCCUCCUAUGAGGCAUGACCUACCGCACUGAUGUCUGUAUCCUCCACCCCCUCCCCUCUCCUGGGUGUGAGGAGAUGGUAGGGGAGGUGGGGUGGGGAAAAGAGGUCAAGACGACCAUCAUACCCUUUGCUGUGCAGUGUACCUCACAACCCUCUAAUCCAAACUAAAUGAUGGGAAGGUCGGCAAGGCACACGAAAGUUUGAGAAUUGAGUGGCAUGAUGCUGUUGGAACUUCGCAGAGACUGGCGAUGUGAUAAUCUUAAUUGAAAAUGUAAAAUGGAUAUAUGGUGCAUUAUAUAAAUGUUUUGCCUUACAAUCUCUCUCUUUUUUUUUUUCUUUAUGCCUUCUUUGAAGUCUGUGGUAUAAUUGAUCAUGUAAGUAUUUUUUAAAUACGAAUCCCACUGCUUCAGCUGUAAAUUGUCAUCACUAUAUUUAUUAUCCUGAACAAUGGUACAAAACUUUUAUAAAUAUUAGUGACAUAAUUUGUAAUAGGAUGAGAUGAGCCACUGUUCAGCCAAUGAGCGAAUUAACGUGAUUUAUUCAAAGAAUCGCCACAAGGAAUGGAAUUCAGGAAAAUUAUUUAUUUUUUACAUUCUCCUGGUAAUGUUUCCCAUUGUUAUAUGCACUCAGCAUUUUUGUAUCUGGAGCUUACCUGAUCAUUUUUAUCUAAAAUACUUAGAAUUGUCAAUGUUCUAAUUUUAUAUUGUGCCUUUAUGAUCAUUACUAAGCUAUGCUGCUACUGUUCAGAAAAUACAGGUUAUGGUAUAUU
rnacentral:misc_RNA from 1 species